rnacentral:misc_RNA from 1 species
GAUGAAGAACGUAGCGAAAUGCGAUAAGUAAUGCGAAUUGCAGAAUUCCAGUGAAUCAUCGAAUCUUUGAACGCACAUUGCGCCCGCUAGUAUUCUGGCGGGCAUGCCUGUCCGAGCGUCAUUUCAACCCUCAAGCCCCCGGGCUUGGUGUUGGGGAUCGGCGAGCCUCCGCGCCCGCCGUCCCCUAAAUCUAGUGGCGGUCUCGCUGUAGCUUCCUCUGCGUAGUAGCACACCUCGCACUGGGAAACAGCGCGGCCACGCCGUUAAACCCCCAACUUCUGAACGUUUGACCUCGGAUCAGGUAGGAAUACCCGCUGAACUUAAGCAUAUCAAUAAGCGGAGGA